GCAAACUUGGUCAUUUAGAGGAAGUAAAAGUCGUAACAAGGUCUCCGUUGGUGAACCAGCGGAGGGAUCAUUACUGAGUUUUCACAAACUCCCAAACCCAUGUGAACAUUACCUUUUGUUGCCUCGGCAGUGGUGCCGCCCUCCCCCCUCGGGGCGGUUGGCGGUAGCCUGCCGGCGGACCCCAAAACUCAAGUUGAUACAGUGUCAUUCUGAAUUUUAAAACUUAAUCAGUUAAAACUUUCAACAACGGAUCUCUUGGUUCUGGCAUCGAUGAAGAACGCAGC
rnacentral:misc_RNA from 1 species